GAAAUGCGAUAAGUAAUGUGAAUUGCAGAAUUCAGUGAAUCAUCGAAUCUUUGAACGCACCUUGCGCUCCUUGGUAUUCCUUGGAGCAUGCCUGUUUGAGUAUCAUGAAAUCUUCAAAGUAAAUCUUUUGUUAACUCAAUUGGUUUCUACUUUGGUAUUGGAGGUCUUUGCAGCUUCACACCUGCUCCUCUUUGUUCAUUAGCUGGAUCUCAGUGUUAUGCUUGGUUCCACUCGGAGUGAUAAGUUAUCUAUCGCUGAGGACACUGUAAAAGGUGGCCAAGGUAAAUGCAGAUGAACCGCUUCUAAUAGUCCAUUGACUUGGACAAUACUUUUAUGAUCUGAUCUCAAAUCAGGUAGGACUACCCGCUGAACUUAAGC
rnacentral:misc_RNA from 1 species